GGGGCGUGCCUAUACAUGCAAGUCGAGCGGACAGAUGGGAGCUUGCUCCCUGAUGUUAGCGGCGGACGGGUGAGUAACACGUGGGUAACCUGCCUGUAAGACUGGGAUAACUCCGGGAAACCGGGGCUAAUACCGGAUGCUUGUUUGAACCGCAUGGUUCAAACAUAAAAGGUGGCUUCGGCUACCACUUACAGAUGGACCCGCGGCGCAUUAGCUAGUUGGUGAGGUAACGGCUCACCAAGGCAACGAUGCGUAGCCGACCUGAGAGGGUGAUCGGCCACACUGGGACUGAGACACGGCCCAGACUCCUACGGGAGGCAGCAGUAGGGAAUCUUCCGNAAUGGACGAAAGUCUGACGGAGCAACGCCGCGUGAGUGAUGAAGGUUUUCGGAUCGUAAAGCUCUGUUGUUAGGGAAGAACAAGUACCGUUCGAAUAGGGCGGUACCUUGACGGUACCUAACCAGAAAGCCACGGCUAACUACGUGCCAGCAGCCGCGGUAAUACGUAGGUGGCAAGCGUUGUCCGGAAUUAUUGGGCGUAAAGGGCUCGCAGGCGGUUUCUUAAGUCUGAUGUGAAAGCCCCCGGCUCAACCGGGGAGGGUCAUUGGAAACUGGGGAACUUGAGUGCAGAAGAGGAGAGUGGAAUUCCACGUGUAGCGGUGAAAUGCGUAGAGAUGUGGAGGAACACCAGUGGCGAAGGCGACUCUCUGGUCUGUAACUGACGCUGAGGAGCGAAAGCGUGGGGAGCGAANAGGAUUAGAUACCCUGGUAGUCCACGCCGUAAACCACGAGUUGCUA
rnacentral:rRNA from 1 species